UGUCUGCAGAUGCAGAACCUCGUGUGACCUGUUCUUUAGAGACUGCUUGUUGAAAUGUUUAGGUAGUAACAAUUCUCAUUCCUCUUUCCCAGAUACUGUUGUGCAGCAGUGUUUUCCUUUCUUAAAUCUGCUGUCCCAGAGAACAUCCAGCAUCACUAUGGCUCAGCAGUGAACAGCAGAGGAUCCCUUUGGAGCAGCUGGAUCUGGCUGUGAUCUGAUGUGGAGCAGUGCCCUGUUACCAAAUCUUGGCAUGUAGAUGUGGAUCUUUUUUUCCCAAAUUAGGAUCCAAAUUUUCACAGCAGAUCUGCAGAGAUAUACAGGACUUCCAAAGCUGGAGUUGUCUUUGUGAAAUACAUGUGUAGUAUAAUAAAUAUGAAAGAACAUCAAUUCUUCACCUGAAUUGUAAUAACUUCAAUUUACAAAUGUUGGGCUAAAAUGAAUGGAUACUUUUCCUCAGAUUAGUUCCAAGAUCAGUUUAUUUUUCUUUAUAUGUCCAGGAUGCCAUCAAUGCAUCUCUGUGAAAAGAGUUUUUAUCAGUAACUGCAGCAUCUGGCAUCACCCUCGUGAUUGAACAAAGAAAUGAAAUGCUGUGGGCGGUCAGAAGGGCUACCAGUGCUGGUGGGUAAGGACAUCUGCACAAAAAUAGACUCUUGCUUUCCCAUCUGUCAUUUGCUGAUCAAAAUGGUUUACUCCAGUCUUUGGAAGUUGGUGAAUUUGGACUCUGCUGAGGGUCACACGAAGUGUUUCAUCAUCAA